rnacentral:rRNA from 1 species
UGGGGAAUAUUGCACAAUGGGGGAAACCCUGAUGCAGCAACGCCGCGUGAGUGAAGAAGUAUUUCGGUAUGUAAAGCUCUAUCAGCAGGGAAGAAGAAAGACGGUACCUGACUAAGAAGCCCCGGCUAACUACGUGCCAGCAGCCGCGGUAAUACGUAGGGGGCAAGCGUUAUCCGGAUUUACUGGGUGUAAAGGGAGCGUAGACGGCUGUGCAAGUCUGAAGUGAAAGCCCGUGGCUCAACCGCGGAACUGCUUUGGAAACUGUAUAGCUUGAGUACUGGAGAGGCAGGCGGAAUUCCUAGU